AAACAAGCUCUUACAUCUUGCUAAAAACUUACUUGCAAGUUAGUUUUGUCUUAUUUUAAAGAGAUAUUUGCACUAGAAACUAG